UUUUUAAAAAAUUAAUUUAUUAAAAAUAAUUAUAUAUUGAUAUGUUUUAGUAUUUUUUAAAUAAAAAAUAAAUUUAAUUAUAGUUUAAUAGUAUUGUAAAAGAAAAUUGAAAUAAAAUGAAAAAUUUUUAUUAUGUAAGAAAAUUUAAUUUAUUGUACCUUGUGUAUCAGGGUUUAUUAAAUAAAAAUUAAUUAUAUUAAUUUUCUCGAUUUUAAAAGAGUUAAUAUAUUAUUAAAUUUAAUGUAAUAAAAUUUUUUUUAAUAAUAUAUUAGAAAUGAAAUGUUAUUCGGUUUUAAAGGUAUCUAGUUCUUUAAGAAAUAAAUUUAAUUUAUAAAUUUUAUAUUAUUUAAUUAGUUAAAUUAAUUAAAUAAUUAUUUAAUUUUAAUAUUUUAUGGGAUAAGCUAUAAAAUAAAUUAUCAAAAAUAAGUAAAUUAAUUUAUAAAUAUAAGCUUAGAAAUAGUUAUUAUUAAUAAAAUUGUUUUAAUUUAUUUAAUUAAAAAAAUUAUUUAUUAAAUUUUGAUUUUUUAUUAAAGUAUUUAUUUUAAUUUUAAAAAUAAAAAAAUAAUGAUAAAAUUAGUAUAAAUUAAAUGUAUAAAUAAUUUUUUUUGAAAAGUUUUUAUAAAGAAUUCGGCAAAAUUUAAUAUUCGCCUGUUUAACAAAAACAUGUCUUUUUGAGUUUAAUUUAAAGUCUAACCUGCCCACUGAAUUUAUUUGAAUGGCCGCAGUAUACUAACUGUGCAAAGGUAGCAUAAUCAUUAGUCUUUUAAUUGAAGGCUGGUAUGAAUGGUUGGACGAAAUAUUAACUGUUUCAUAAAUAUUUAUAUUAGAAUUUUAUUUUUUAGUUAAAAAGCUAAAAUAUUUUUAAAAGACGAGAAGACCCUAUAAAUCUUUAUAUUUAUAUUAUUAUAGUUUUUUAGAAAAUUUUUAUUUUAAUAAUUUAUAUUAUUUUAUUGGGGUGAUAUUAAAAUUUAAUAAACUUUUAAUUAUUAUAAUCAUUAAUUAAUGAAUAAUUGAUCCGUUAUUGACGAUUAAAAAUUUAAGUUACUUUAGGGAUAACAGCGUAAUUUUUUUGGAGAGUUCUUAUCGAUAAAAAAGAUUGCGACCUCGAUGUUGGAUUAAGAUAUAAUUUUAGGUGUAGCUGCUUAAAUUUUAAGUCUGUUCGACUUUUAAAUUCUUACAUGAUCUGAGUUCAAACCGGUGUAAGCCAGGUUGGUUUCUAUCUUUAAAUAAUUAAAAUAUUAUAGUACGAAAGGACCUAAUAUUUAAUAAAUUAUUAUUUUUAUAUUGAAUAUAAAUAAUUUA
rnacentral:rRNA from 1 species